rnacentral:rRNA from 1 species
AGUGAGGAAUAUUGGUCAAUGGGCGAGAGCCUGAACCAGCCAAGUCGCGUGAAGGAUGACUGUCUUAUGGAUUGUAAACUUCUUUUAUACGGGAAUAACAAGAGCCACGUGUGGCUCCCUGCAUGUACCGUAUGAAUAAGCAUCGGCUAACUCCGUGCCAGCAGCCGCGGUAAUACGGAGGAUGCGAGCGUUAUCCGGAUUUAUUGGGUUUAAAGGGUGCGUAGGCGGCCUGUUAAGUCAGCGGUGAAAUCUAGGAGCUUAACUCCUAAAUUGCCAUUGAUACUGGCGGGCUUGAGUGUAGAUGAGGUAGGCGGAAUGCGUGGUGUAGCGGUGGAAUGCAUAGAUAUCACGCAGAACUCCGAUUGCGAAGGCAGCUUACUAAGGUACAACUGACGCUGAAGCACGAAAGCGUGGGUAUCAAA